rnacentral:rRNA from 1 species
UACGGGGGGGUGCGAGCGUUGUCCGGAAUCACUGGGCGUAAAGGGCGCGUAGGUGGCCUGAUAAGGGUGUGGUGAAAGUCCGGGGCUCAACCCCGGAUCGGCCGUGCCGACUGUUGGGCUAGAGUACUGUAGGGGCAGGCGGAAUUCCGGGUGUAGCGGUGGAAUGCGUAGAGAUCCGGAAGAACACCAGUGGCGAAGGCGGUCUGCUGGGCAGUGGGCUCGAAAGGGCCCUUUAACCGACACUGAGGCGCGACAGCGUGGGGAGCAAACAGG